CGGGGGGUGAUGAGACGUGCGCCAGCUCCGGGGGCUGCGAGGCCGCGUCUGGCCAGGGGUGCGUUGGCUUCAGCAGCUCGCUGAUCAGCCAGACUCACCUGUCUGUAACCUGACCGGCUGCGCGCCCAGCCCACAAGCCCGGGGAAUCAACACAGCGGUUUUCCCCGUCCUCUUCCGCCUUCGAAUGGCCCUUGGGGACACGGCAGCCUGGUAACGGAUUUCGCGGCUUGGCUGGAGUACUCUCCCGGCGCACGGAGAGGGGGCGCAGCUCUGCCGGGACUCCGGAGGGAACAGACGCGUCGUGCCUCCCGGCCUGCCCUCAAGGGGUCACCCUCUCUGGGCUCAACCUUGUCAGGGCUCCAGAUUUUCCCUGAGGACAACCAAGUAAGAAUGAAAAAGACUUGGAGCCAAGUGAGCCUGGGCAGGAGCAGGAGGAAGACAUUUUCAUCGCGGCACAGGCAAACGAGCCUUGUUUCUGGUCUGUGAGGCUGAUGGCGCAGCUCUUGGGAGAUUCUGCGAAGGGUUACUUCAAGAAUCAAAUGGAAUCAUUUUUGUGAAUGUGCUUGUAGGAAGCAUUUUCCUAAUGUUCAAAUAACAGUGACCAACGUUAAUCAAACGCCUUCUAUGAUCUGGACGCUGCCCUAGACACAUUGUUUGACUAAGCAACCGUUUGUGGGAGAGAAAUACUCUUUUUAUUCCCAUUUCACAAGUAAGAAAACUAAGGCUUAAAAAGGUCAAGAACCCCUGUUCUUAAGCUCCUCAUUAGGGAUGCACCACAAUGCUGAGAAUGAGUAUCGUGACCUCAGCAGAAACCAGCAGUGUUCAACAGGGCCCCCAGUCUGCCUGCGAUGCCUGUGUGGGGACCCCCUCGCCUGACGGUUACUCAGUCUACAAACGCAUUCAGAAUUUUCCAAGAACAGAUUUAGGUGUCUGCUCCACACUAACAAGUUCUCCCUCCUCCUGGGAGCACCUGUGUCUGGGGAAGGGAACAGUCUACCUGUGGAGGACACCUGGUGUUUUCACCUGCCCUCCGGCAUCUAUUCCCCCAUCUUCCUGUAACUGAACCUGCAGUUCUGGACAGGCUGACUCCACCCCUCCUGGGAGGUGGGCAUUUAACCUGGCUAAUUAGAGCCUUCAACUUGGCCACAGCAAUUGCUUCAAGGGCAGAAGUGAGAUCCAAACUGAACCUGCACCCGAGAGGAUCUGUUGCUGAGUUUCCCUUUCCCCUGCUGUUGAGGGAGGAUGUGAUGCAAGCCUGGGGCAGGCAGCCACCUUUGCCACCAGCAGCUGCCCGAGAAUGAUGCCAAGACAGAGGAGAGCAAAGCCUAGAGAUAGAGAGAGCAAGACUGAGUCCUAAUGACAGUACUCCAUCUAGCCCUGCCUGAAGCACGUCUACCCCUGGAUUGGUCAAAUAAAUUCUCUCUCUCUUUCUUGCUUAAGGCAGUUGGAGUUGUGC
rnacentral:lncRNA from 1 species